rnacentral:lncRNA from 1 species
UGCUGCUUGUGUGAAUGUGCCCCGCUCAUUGUUCCGCGGCUUUAUUCGCCGGGCCUCGAUGGGACUGAUUUAGAAAUCCUAAUCAGGGAGCAGCCUCCGCGCCUCCCGAGUGUGACACAACUCGAGCUGCUCGGGGCGCCUUUGUUCCCUAAUGACAGCUGACUUCAUGCAGCAGUGGGAACAGUUUGAGCAUAACUCCGCACCGCGGGCUGGCAGCUGCAGCCUUAACUCUUUCUUGCCCACCUGCACGGCGCAGAGGGAUGGGGAGGGGUGCCGGGGGGGGGAGAAGUGUAGCCAAAAAGCACGUAGCCUGUGCAAGGAUGCUCGUCUUCCCCUCCGGCAGCUCUCCUGAGAGCAACUGCAGCUAGAGAAUAGAGCUGCAGGUGUAUGGCUCUUGUUGGAGGCAGUGGGAGCAAGAAGCAAAAGCACUUUCUUAGGGGGUUAUUGCUGCUGCGUGGCUUUUGCUGCUGUCUGCUGCAGGUAUUCGUGGGGAAAAAUAAUGAAACAAGCCCAACCCGGGGCAACGUAUGGGGGGGAGAGGCUGGGUUUCAGAAAGCGUGUCCGGUUCUGUUGGUACUCUGAGUGUUGGAGAAUGUCUGCAGCCCUGGGUGAGUGUGAAGUGCUUCCACGCUGGCCGCAGGGCAUUUACAUCACUUGUAUUGAAAGUAAAAGGCAUUGAGUCAUUCCAAGAUGUUCCCGGAAGAGAUUUCUGGCUCUGCCAGCAAAGAGCUUGAGAGCAGGCGUCAUUCUCCCUCUCUUGGCCUCGGCUCCUUCCCUUCCCUGGCGAAAUGGGGCUUGGGAUCCAACGUCCUGCACAGAGCUGUGUUGUUUGGAUUGGAAACGUGCGUGGUGAUGUUUGCUGGGCCAGCGCUAGCAAUGGUUAAACCCCUUUCCCUUUCUGUUUGUUGUCAAACCACUGCUCCGACCUGGGAAAAAUCCUGCUGGAAAAUUACCCUUAUUAAAGGGGACGGCCCUCGAGGGGCAGAGCCGGCGAGGUCCUGCGAGCCGAUGUCCUCCCUGCCUGCUCUGGGGCACGGUGCUCAGCUCCCAGUGGGCUCAGCACCCUCCGUAGCCCUUCCCUUGGGGGCUGUAAUUAUAACAUCGCUCCCUGCCACCUCCCCCGGCACCUGUGUCCCCUCCACCGUCCCCAAAUCGCCGCGUCCUGCGGCCGCCCAUGCUUGGCCGGGGUCUCCCUGGCGACGGGGCCACGGGAUGCUGUGCAGUCCAUUUGUCACCAAUUGUCACUGUUUUGUUCUGCCUUGUAUGCGCACUCGAUUGUGUCACGGGGGAGUCUUCCAACUCUGAGAGCCACCAGAACUGGUUGAGAAUAAAGCUGUGGCCAGCUCGGAGCCUCA